rnacentral:rRNA from 1 species
GACGAACGCUGGCGGCGUGCUUAACACAUGCAAGUCGAACGAUGACGACCGAGCUUGCUCGGUCUGAUUAGUGGCGAACGGGUGAGUAACACGUGAGCAACCUGCCCUUCACUCUGGGAUAACCUCGGGAAAUCGGGGCUAAUACCGGAUAUGAGCUCCUGUCGCAUGGCGGGUGUUGGAAAGUUUUUCGGUGAAGGAUGGGCUCGCGGCCUAUCAGUUUGUUGGUGAGGUAGUGGCUCACCAAGGCGAUGACGGGUAGCCGGCCUGAGAGGGCGACCGGCCACACUGGGACUGAGACACGGCCCAGAAUCCUACGGGAGGCAGCAGUGGGGAAUAUUGCACAAUGGGCGAAAGCCUGAUGCAGCGACGCCGCGUGAGGGAUGACGGCCUUCGGGUUGUAAACCUCUUUCAGCAGGGAAGAAGAGAAAGUGACGGUACCUGCAGAAGAAGCGCCGGCUAACUACGUG